CCAACUGUGCAUGCAUAUGUGGAGGCCAGAGGACACCCUUGGGUGUUUCUUUCUUCCUGCACUUGGUAACCCCAGUCUUCCAUUUAAUCACUUGGUGAUGUGACUGAGACAAAACAGAUAAAAGUUCCAUAGUCCAUCACCAUUAAAAGAUCAAAGGGUGCCUCGGAGAUGUGAAGAAAUACAACCGUAUUCACGAGGAGAUGAUAUCAUGUGUCAUGGAGGAAACUGUUGAGGGUGCAAGUUCCACACCUGGAGUGAAGACAUGGUGAAGCCAGUGGCCUACAAGCUUCGGUGAAAGGAUUGAGAAGAAACCAGCUUUACUGAUGCCUCUGAUACCUCGAACAACUGGAUUUUGUACCUUGGCACCCCCAGAACUGUGAGACAGUAAAGUUUUGUGAA